UACGAAGGGGGCUAGCGUUGCUCGGAAUCACUGGGCGUAAAGCGCACGUAGGCGGCUUCUCAAGUCAGGGGUGAAAUCCUGGAGCUCAACUCCAGAACUGCCUUUGAUACUGAGGGGCUCGAGUCCGGGAGAGGUGAGUGGAACUGCGAGUGUAGAGGUGAAAUUCGUAGAUAUUCGCAAGAACACCAGUGGCGAAGGCGGCCAACUGGUCCGGUACUGACGCUGAGGUGCGAAAGCGUGGGGAGCAAACAGG
rnacentral:rRNA from 1 species